rnacentral:misc_RNA from 1 species
GAUGAAGAACGUAGCGAAAUGCGAUAAGUAAUGUGAAUUGCAGAAUUCAGUGAAUCAUUGAAUCUUUGAACGCACCUUGCGCUCCUUGGUAUUCCGAGGAGCAUGCCUGUUUGAGUGUCAUUAAAUUCUCAACCUCACCAGUUUUCUGAACUGUUCUUCGAGGCUUGGAUGUGGGGGUUUGUGCAGGCUGCCUCACGGCGGUCCGCUCCCCUGAAAUGCAUUAGCGAGUUCAUACUGAACUUCCGUCUAUUGGUGUGAUAAUUAUCUACGCCGUGGACGAGGAUCAGACUCGCUUCUAACCGUCCGCGAGGACAAUACCUUGACAAUUUGACCUCAAAUCAGGUAGGACUACCCGCUGAACUUAAGCAUAUCAAUAAGCGGAGGA